rnacentral:lncRNA from 1 species
GUGGGUCAGGCUGGGGAUACAAAGGCUAAAAGUGAAACCAGCUCCUGCCCUCAGGGAGCUUCCAUUCUAUGGUUACGUAAAUGCGGACCUGUGCUUUCACUGAUAUAGGGAACUCCCGGGUGAGGAAACUCUCUCCACUGGCACCGAUGGGCAUCUUUUCUACGGUUUAGGGACUUGCUCAGGGUGUCGAGAAGUGAAACUUACUGGGGUCCCGCCCACAUGGGCCAGAGGUGGAUCUGAAUCCAGUUCUUCAUGACUCGGAGACCAGCUUUCUCUCCCCUGUGCACAAAAUCAAUACAAGGCAUUUAUUCAGCCCUCAAAACAUAUGGAAAUUAUGAUUUGGAAUGAGACUAUCUAGACAAAAAUGAGUUCCUGUCCUCAGGGAGCUUACAUUUUUCUAGGGAGAUACAAUAUGGAUAUAGAAGAAAUCAAAAAAAAAAGCAGCCUCGUUUCUUAUAAUAGCUUCACUUCAUCGUUUUGAUCUUUAGGACAACCUCUAAAAAUACAAGUAUCCUCAAGGAGCUGCCAUCCUACCAGGAAUGGAUCAACUACAUAGCUAAGGAAGUCAGCAAAAGUAAUUGGAGGAGACGCAGAUAAAUGGGAGGAAUGGGAGCGAACGGGUCUGUGUCAAUGAGUUUGUGGGGAGUGGGAACAUGGGAACGUGUGUGUGGAUCAACAACUGAAUCCAGGCCUUCCAAGUGAGUUUCCCUGAAAGCAGGAGCCCCCACCAGGCACCUGAAAGAAAAUAAUCCAACAGAGGAAGAGGCAGGACCUCAUCCCGACAAGGGUCCCCAGUUGGUGUGAAGAUAAAUGUUUAACAACCAUUACUCUGGGGGAGAAAGGAUUGCGUAUGUGAAACACUUUUCAGUUUAAUCUGCAAUAUUAAGCUUUUUCCCAUCGCUCUCUUAAGGCUAGACAACCAACAAAACAAUAAAUCAAGCCUAAUUUGUCCGGUUUGUUGAUACCUAUGGGGAAAAUUUAACAAAUGGCUCUCGAAUUGGUCCAAGCUGAUUCCUGCUUGGCUCCUUCCCAAGGGGAAUGGGUGAACCAUGUGUGGUACAG